UCCUAGCCCAGAUAGAAGCGGCAUCCUCUUUUAGCCUCGUUUUUUAACGAGGCUAAAAGAGAUAUAGCGAAUAGCUGGAACAAGC
rnacentral:sRNA from 1 species